UGCAGCGACGCCGCGUGAGUGAAGAAGUAUUUCGGUAUGUAAAGCUCUAUCAGCAGGGAAGAAAAUGACGGUACCUGACUAAGAAGCCCCGGCUAACUACGUGCC
rnacentral:rRNA from 1 species